rnacentral:lncRNA from 10 species
GUCUCCAUAAAAACCCAAAAGGACAGGGUUUGAAGAGCUUCCAAAUAGCUGAACGCAUGGAGGUUCCUGGAGGGUGGUGUGCACUGGGAGGGCAUCGAACCACUGCACCCCUGCCCAUACCUUGCCCCACGCAUCUCUUCAUCUGUAUCCUUUAUAAUAUUUUUUAUAAUACCCUUUAUAAUAGACCAGUAAACAUGGACCCUGACUUCUGUGAGCUGCUCUAGCAAAGUAAUCAAAUCCAAGGAGGGGGCUGUGGGAUCUCUGAUUUAUAGCCGGUCAGUCAGGGCAUGGGUAAAACAACCUGGGACUUCAGAUAGGCGUCGGAAGUCAGGGGCAGCCUUGUGGGACUGAGCCCUCAACCUGCAGUGUCUGACACUAUCUCCAGGUAGAUAGUGUUGGAAUUGGAUUGGAGAAUGCCCAACUGGUGUCUGCUGAAGAAUUGAUUGCUUGCCUCUUGGUGGGGACCCCCUCAUCCAGUAUUUGGUUACAAAAGUCUUCUGUGUAGAUUGUUGUGGUGUGAAAGCAAAGGAAAAACAGUUUGUGUUUUCCACUCACAAAUGUUCUUUGUGAGGCAGGGAAUACGCAAGGGUUUCACCAUAGCAGCUCUCUAUCUGAAACCCUUGCUAGAGAUGACAUCACAUACAUUUCUCUGGGAAUAUAUGUUUCUUCUGUGCCUGUGUAAAAUUUAACAUCAGAAUAAAUCUAACUGUGCCAAUAUCAUAAAAAAGAGGAUUGUUUAUUUCAGUUGUAACAUUGAGCUUUCAUUUUGAUUUCAACUGACUUUGUAUUUCACUUUCAGUUUUUGAUGACUAUCUACGCACAGGCUAUUUAUAAGUAUUUAUAAAUACUCCUAAUUAAAGUAUUGUAGGACUUUCUCUUCAGUUCAGCUAAAAACCAGGUUCUUGUCACACGACCAGGAAAGGUUAGGCUUGUGGACACCUAGAAGGGUGAGAAAAAUGGAAAUUAUUGGGUGAAAAGGAAAAAGACUCUCCACAAAGCAAGAGGGGUUCCUGUUAACAGAUCCCCAUCUCACAUAUUGAAUCCCAGGUCACCGCCCAGGAACAGGAGAGGCCAGGCUCCUCCCGGCUGCAAAUGGUGUGAACUUCUCGAGGCCCUGCCCCAUCCUCCCAGUGCACAGGCUGGUAGAAGGUUCUCUGGGGAGACCUUUUUACUUGGCUGUCUCGAAAACAUAGAAAUAUCAUACAUUUUCGACACGCACAUAUGAAUCACACAAUAAUCAUGGUAGUUAAUAUUAGAUUUAGAUAAUGAAAACAUCCUUUUAUGUACUUCCUUUGUCUUUUUUUUUCUUCUUCAGUUUUCUAUUUUUCAACUAACAUGUUGCUUUGUGUUUCAUUGAAGAUGUACUUUCUGAUUUCCACAUAGAGCUGCAAAUGUCCAGUUCACAUCACAACACCAAGGAGAAGCAGCUCCUUGUUUUUCCUUUCGCCACUUCACCCUCAGGUCCACCCUCAGCAGCCAGCUCUCUGGGAUAGUCCUGAUCUUCUCCCAGCACAAUCAGUUAAAAAUCCCAUUGUAAAUCCUGCUGUUGGGUAAAUGGAAGUCAGUGCGUCAGAAUGGCAAUAAGCACUUACCAGAAUGAAUUGUAUGCAAAAAAAAUCUGAUGCCUUUUCUGUAGGACUGUCUAAAAAAGAGGAAAAUGGUUUAAAUACUCAUUUUAUGCACUACUAGAUAUGUUUCUGAAAAACUGUGUGUGAAUGGAAAACUUUGAACCUAUUUCAAGUGCAUAAGGGUACCUGACUACAUAAAUAAAACCUCUGGAGAAUUCUUUUCAAAAUGGUAGAAUUAAUCUCUAUUUAGUCACUUUCUUAGUUUGGAAUUUUAUAUGGUAGAACCCUCUGCAUGCUAGAAUGUGGUGAAUUGUUUUUUUUCUAGCUUUAAUUUUUGACAACCCUUUGAGAAGCCAGGAGAAAUUAAUCUAGAUGUUGAGGACAGAGAGUCCAUUUCAGGCUUUCUCAUUUUUUGGCAUCUUAUAUGGGGCAAAUCCUUGUGAAGAGGGUUCAGGGUGAAGAGGGCUAAUUAGGCCUCAUGAUUAGGGGAGGAAGGAACCACAGGAUAGAGCCUGCGGGACGGAGCUUGUCAGGGAGGGCUUGGAAGUGCAGAGGUGACCUUGGAUGGUGCAGACCAGUGAUCUUAAAAACAUUUCAGCUAUGGAACCCAUUCUUCAAAGAAGUCGUACUCAGAAGUCUGAUACAUUAAACAUGUAAAAGCCAAGCUGCUCUGCCUGAAGCGAUGUGGGGAGCCUGGAGUCCUGCUGAGGAAGGGUAUUUUGACCAUGCUGUUUAAUGCGUGUCACUGAUUAGAGGGUAAAGCAACUGCUACAUAAGUCUGUCUCUUCUAUGCACCAGCUGUGUGACUUGGGUCAGCUGCAUCACCUCUGUGAGCCUCAGGGCCCUAAUCUGUGAAAUGAAGGUUAAGCACUACCUCUCUAGUUUCAUGUAAGGGCUUAAGAAACUAACACGGCACUGUGCUUGACACAGGUUGUCUGUACAUGAUAAUUUGACAAAUGUUAAAACCAUUGCUCCUUCCCACCAACCCAUCAGCUUCCUACCUGACCUAAAAUUUCCAUCCAAAAAAAAAUCACUAACAGAUUUCACAACAAAGGCAGGGGGACUUGUCUCCAGAAGGAACCAUUAACAUGGAAAUAUUGCCUCUGAAGAGAAAAGUUUCUGUUGUUUCUUCUCUGGGCUUCUUUAGUUGACAUUCGGGUUUAAGAGUUGAUAUUGUUAGAGCCAUAAUCACAAGCACAGGUUCUUAGAACUGUGAUAAAAGAGCACCGAGUCAACAAGUUUUACAUGUAUGAAAACUGAGUGUUCAAGAGGUUAUUGCGUACCCAAGGCCAAGCAAUCACAGUGGAAGGACAUGGAUUAUUCACAUUUCUAAGUUCUGAUUUAGAUUCAUUUUACUAUUAGGUUGGUGCAAACAUAACUGCAGUUUUUGCCACUAAAAGUAAUCACUUUUAUACCAACCUAAUAUAAGAAGCUGUUUUUAGAAACUGGAAGCAAGAAUUCACUGAAAAGAGGCACAAGGAAAAUUUCUGAGCUGAUGGAAAUGUUCUUUAUCUUGAUGGGGAUGUAGUUUCCAUGGUUUUGAUGCAUUUCUCAAAAUUCAUUGAACUGUACAUUUAAGAUCUAUGCAAUUUACUAUAAAAAAUUAUGUCUCCAUUUAAAAAUGAGUAAGUGUUAUGUAUCCCCCCAAAUUCAUGUGUUUAAAUCUUAAUUCUCAGUACCUCAGAAAGUGACCUUACUUGGAUGUAGGGUUUUCACAGAGGUAAUCAAAAUAAAAUGAGGUCAUUAGAGUGGGUCUUAAUUCAAUAAGCCUGCUGCCUUUAUAAGAAGGGAAUAUUUGGACACAGAGGCUUAUGAAGAGAUGACAGCCAUCCACAACCCAUGAGAGGGGUCUGAAACACGUUUCUCUCCCAGCCCUCAAAAAAGAACCAAUCCUGCCAACACCAAGAUGUUGGCAGAUAUACCUUAAAUAAAGGUAUUUUAUAUAAGGUGUAUCUCUUAUAAGGAACAUAAUAUUUAUUUUUUUUCCUUUCAGACAAGAUCAGUUGUGUUCAGGGUGGUAUGGCCAUAGAUGGUUUCUUCUUUUCAAUUCAGACUAAUAAUCUUAAUUUUUAAAUUGAAGCAUUCAGUCUAUUUGUAUUUAAUGCAACUCCUGACAUAUUUCAAUGUAUUUACUUUUUUCUUAAUUAACCAGGCCAGUUUUGUGUUCUUUUUUGCUGUUUGGUAUUUAUAUUAUUUUGAUUUUAUAAAUGAGCAAUCCUUGACUUUGAGAGGUAAUACAAAUUAACUAAGUUCGUAUCCUGGUAAAUAGCAGAGUUCCUGAGGAAAGAAAACAGAAAACUGGCCAACAGGACAGUGUGGUAGAGGAGAAAGAGCUCUGGGAUUAGAAUCCAAAAUACCAGCUCCCCACUGAACUGCUGUGUGACUUUCUCCAGUCUACUUCCUUUUCUGAAAGUUAAGAGUGAUGAUACAUAUCCUACCAACCACUCUGAGUGGUUCAGUUCACAUGAGAAGUGAAAGUGCUUUGUGAAUUGGUUUUCCACAGGACUGGGCCCUGUUUGAGGGGUGGAAACAGGAGGUUGGUAGAGAGACCUGCCCAAGGUGACUGAAGAAAGGAUGGGGAGUCAUCACGUGAGGACAGGGAUUUGAGGGCAGGCAGCUCCCGCACAGCAGAACACUUUUAGAUUGGAAAGAUUUUGAUCAUCUCAAAAGUCUUGGAUAUAAAAAUUCAGUCUGUGUGGCAGGGAACAGCUCACUCCUGACUGGUUGAAGAUAGGAGGUUGAAGAAAUAAAUGAACUUGAAGCAGACUUGAAGUUUCAUGCCUGAGAUCCUAAAGUAAGAUAAUGUUUGUAAGGCUGAUUGCUAAUCAAGAUGCCUUAUUUCUCAGAUUUUUUUAAUCUGAAUUAUUCCUUCCUCAACCAACAUCCCGAUUUAGGAGCUGUUAUAAGUCAUCACUCAAGAUAAGGAUUUAAAAGGACUGGAUUGCAAAUGCAGCCAGCAAAGCUUAGAAGCCUAAAGGGGUGGGAAAAUGAACUCCCCAAUAUGGGAAAUAAAUGGCAGUUCUGAUGAUUGGCAAAGCGGUCUGGCUUCUUCCAGAAAUAUUUAUAAAGGCAUAAAUUAAUGGCAUUCCAGUUUCUCAAGGAGAAUGAAAAUAAAAAUCCCCAAACAUUCUAAUUUCUCUAAGAGAAUAUAAACAUAAAAGCAAGAGGGUCCUAACAGUGUCGCUC